AGUAAUGUAUGGGGAUCUGCCUGAUGGGGGGGAGGUAACUACUGGAAACGGUAGCUAAUACCGCCAUAAUGUCUGCGGACCAAAGCGGGGGACCUCCGGGCCUCGCGCCAUCAGAUGAACCCAUAUGGGAUUAGCUAGUAGGUAAGGUAACGGCUUACCUAGGCGACGAUCCCUAGCUGGUCUGAGAGGAUGAUCAGCCACACUGGGACUGAGACACGGCCCAG
rnacentral:rRNA from 1 species